GAUGAACGCUGGCGGCGUGCCUAAUACAUGCAAGUCGAGCGAACAGACGAGGAGCUUGCUCCUCUGACGUUAGCGGCGGACGGGUGAGUAACACGUGGAUAACCUACCUAUAAGACUGGGAUAACUUCGGGAAACCGGAGCUAAUACCGGAUAAUAUAUUGAACCGCAUGGUUCAAUAGUGAAAGACGGUUUUGCUGUCACUUAUAGAUGGAUCCGCGCCGCAUUAGCUAGUUGGUAAGGUAACGGCUUACCAAGGCAACGAUGCGUAGCCGACCUGAGAGGGUGAUCGGCCACACUGGAACUGAGACACGGUCCAGACUUCUACGGGAGGCAGCAGUAGGGAAUCUUCCGCAAUGGGCGAAAGCCUGACGGAGCAACGCCGCGUGAGUGGUGAAGGUCUUCGGAUCGUAAAACUCUGUUAUUAGGGAAGAACAAAUGUGUAAGUAACUAUGCACGUCUUGACGGUACCUAAUCAGAAAGCCACGGCUAACUACGUG
rnacentral:rRNA from 1 species